UCCCGGCUCCCUGCACCGGGAGCGGCCGUAGGCGGGGAGCUGUCGCCGUUGCCCGGGAGCGGCGGCCCCGCGGAGCGCGAUGAGAGCCGCAGACUGGUGCCGGAGCUCGGCGGGGGCCGCCCUGGUCCUGGCCACGUCCAGCGAUGCCGAGCACCCCGCCGAGAGCGUGGCGGACGGAAGUUCCAAAACAUUUUGGACGACGACAGGCAUGUUCCCACAGGAAUUGAUUAUUGGUUUUCCCAAAUGUGUAAAAAUCAGCAAAGUCGCCAUCCAGUGUUAUUUGGUGCGGACCUUAAGGAUUGAAAGAAGCACAUCUAAAGACCCUGUGGGUUUUGAACAGUGUGUUGAAAAAGAUUUGCAGCACAGAGAAGGGCAGCUCCAAAUGGAAGAAUUUCCACUUCCUGAGUUCCAAGCCACUUACUUGCGUUUCAUCAUCAAAUCUGCCUUUGAUCAUUUUGUGUCAGUGCACCGGGUCAUGGCAGAGGGCACAGCAGAGAACACUUGAGCCCAGCUUAAAUUUGGGCCUCCACUUUAUUUUUUUAUAAGGAAGUUACAUUUUGAUAGCUGCACUGGAGAGAAUGUUUAUUAUUAGAACCUUGUAUUAAAGUGGUUUUUGAAGUUUUUCCAGGAUGGCACGUAUUUCCUGGGGGUGGUAAUUCCAAGGCCCCACUCCUCCCUGCAAAGGCAAU